UGCAAGUCGAACGAGACCUUCGGGUCUAGUGGCGCACGGGUGCGUAACGCGUGGGAAUCUGCCCUUCGGUUCGGAAUAACUCAGGGAAACUUGAGCUAAUACCGGAUAAUGACGUAAGUCCAAAGAUUUAUCGCCGAAGGAUGAGCCCGCGUAGGAUUAGCUUGUUGUGGGGUAAUGGCCCACCAAGGCGACGAUCCUUAGCUGGUCUGAGAGGAUGAUCAGCCACGCUGGGACUGAGACACGGCCCAGACUCCUACGGGAGGCAGCAGUGGGAAUAUUGGACAAUGGGCGAAAGCCUGAUCCAGCAAUGCCGCGUGAGUGAUGAAGGCCUUAGGGUUGUAAAGCUCUUUUACCCGGGAUGAUAAUGACAGUACCGGGAGAAUAAGCUCCGGCUAACUCCGUG
rnacentral:rRNA from 1 species